AGGUUCUGCUGGGCUGGCUAAAUUGAGGGCAGUAUAUUUUUUGUCCCAUAACACCACUCUUUUGUGAACCGCUUCCAAGCUGGACAAUCCACGACCUCCCUCCGAUCGAGGGAGAUAUAGUCGCUCGAUUGCUGAAUUGGGAUGCAGUAUGCCAUGCCUCGUGAAACUGACGCGAACCCACUGAUCCAAUCGGCGCAGUUCCGUAGCUGACCAGGAUUUUGGAUGAUUUCCUGUAUAUGUAGUGCCAAUUGAUUAUGAGCUGUUGACAUAGCCUUCCACCAGUAAUUGCAAAUUCCAUCAACGCCAGGGGCAGUCCAGUUUCUAAGGCGUUUAACCGUUUCGUCUAUGUCUCCU